CACAGAAAAGCGGGUAACUCUCUAGGACGCCUCUAAGAUGCACCACGUGGGCGGCCGAAGUGGUGUGGCGGAAGCCGCUCAGCAGAUGGUACUCGCUACAGUCAUGUGCCACACCCUGCCCCACGCACGCGCAGAACGCGCUCGCUCCAGGGAUGAGCCGCACGCACGCGCGAGCCUGCUCGCUAAGGCUUCAGGACACCGCUGCGGCUGUCUUCAUUUGUGUCCCUGUCAGACGUGUGACUGUACAGAGUCAAUCAGUGCCCUCCCAGACGUUAGUCAGACUCUAAACCUGUCGGGUGAGUUUCCUCAGAGCCUGUCGGUAAAGCCAGCUGCACGUCAUCUCCAUGGCGCGUCAGCUGUGACAUUCACCACCGCUUGUGGCGUCAGGAUGCCUUCAUCACCUCGGGUGACUUCCUGGACGGGGCAGGGCUGCUUCACUAGAGCUGAAUUUCAGUGCAUCAGAGAGCUCUGCAUGAGGAAGCAGCAGGAGGAGGAAGCAGAUGUUUGAGCCUUGCUUUUUCUUGGCAUAUUCUUCUAUAACUAGUUAAUGUUCAUAGUUUACUUGUUUUUGAUUAAUAAGACCACCUUUGAGGGCUGGAGAUUUAGCUCAGUGGCAGCACGCCUGCCUUGCAAGCACAAGGUCCCAAGUUGGAUUCCCAAUACCACAAAAAACGGGGGAGGACCACCUUUGAGGAAGACAUGGUCACCACAUCUGUUUUCCUAGUAGCAUGAAACACAUUGGAGAGAGUAGAAGCCAUCGAGCGCCUGGUCUUUCCCAGAAGUGUAAAGGGGGCCACCAUGGGCUGACGCCAAAAAGCGCUGAGCUCAAGACUCACCACCCACGUCACAGACACUGUGGGUAACAUUAAAAUGAGGGGUAGCUACAGCUUAGUCCGCCCCUCAUAACCCACUCACUGCUGUUACAUAGAGCUUACAACGUAGUGUUCACCGAAUCUAAGACGCCACCAUUAUUCUGUGUAUUCCUAAGAGAGAAACAGCACUGUUACUGACGCAGAGAUGCAACAUGUGAAAAUGUGAGUCUGGAAAUCAGCAGAAGAUGGUUUGCCCUUCUGUGUUCUCUCCUGUCCAUCUCUUCCGGGC
ensembl:lncRNA